ensembl:lncRNA
CCCGUUCCUAGCAGUCCGCUGAAAGGAGAGGUAGCAGGUAGGUCGCUAACUGGUGGGUUAUUUGUUAUGGGGGAAAUUGUCAGCUUACAGAUCUCAACCUUGCAGGUUUUGCCGGCCGAGUGGAGUCCCUUCGGACGUCGUUGGGGAGGGUUUAGCUCCUCAGCCUUUCCAGGUGGCGCACAAACUGCUGUUUUGCCGUAUCCGGGUGCGAGUAGCGAUUAGCAAUUGUAACUAGCUGGUAUCAUAACAUUGUAUGCGUCCUGCGCUCCGGUUUUUUUUUCGUGUACUUGCCUACUGUUAUUUUCAUUUAUUUCGAGCGGGGGGUGCCCGUUGUGUGGAGGAAUAGCGUGGGUAUUUUCUUAGAUUUAGAUUUUAGCAUGUGGUGUGAUAUUGCAUGAACAGUUUUUAACGCACUUUGUUUUGCCGUUGAGUGAGUUGCAGUGUGUGCGCGCGUGUGCGCGUGUGCGUGUGUGUGUGUGUGUGUGUGUUGCAUGUUUAUAGGUUGCACGGGUGAUUAGAUGUACUGGGAGACUCGCUGCCUCCACGCAGACGCUCGCCCUAUCCUCACCGUGGUUAGGGACCCGGGCAAGUACAGAUUGUUUUACGGCGUUUGUUUUUUACUGAUGUACGAAUACAUUAUACAGUUUCUUCCCGUCGGCAGUCGGGCUCAUCAACAGAGCCCGGUCCCCCACUGCCUGACUAUAACACUCCACCGGUCACUUCCCUUCACACUGCACAUGCCACUUUAACUGCGAUUCAUCACUUUGUCACUUGUCACUUUGUCUCUUGUUUGUUACUUGUUUGUUAGUGCACUUUAUGCUUAAUAUUUUUCAACUUAAUAUUUAAAAUUUGUUUAACUUUAUUCCCCUGUUUUAUACUAACCCAUAGCCUUAGCCUUAUUCUUACUAACCCAUUGCAUUAGCAUUUCAUUCCACUUUAUUUUUAUUACCUGUGCACUGUUGUCUUGUCUGUCUACUGUCGCGCACUAACCGCCAAGACAAAUUCCUUGUAUGUUUGACAUAUUUUGGCUAAUCAAUGUUUCCUGAUUAUUGUUUUGUACAACAAUAUGAUCUCUGUUCCUGGAGUAAACCGAACCUCUGUAUUGUUCAGUCCGGCACGAGAACCCCCCCCCCCCUCUACCUGUUUAGUUGGAAGUAAAACAGGCCCCCCCCUCUACUUGGUGUCACACAACGAUAAGUUUGUACUAAUCCUGUUUAUGUGGCCCACCUGGCAUUUGGGAGCAGUUUUCUCAUUGUGUAUGUCAUCAUAAAUGAAAUGAUAUCAGUGUGACGACAGUUUUAAAGCGAACGGUCCCAAAAAGAUGAAAUACCCAGCGAGUGUUGUGUGGACGAAAUGAGAAUGGCCAGACUGGUUCACGAUGACUGCAACAGGAACUCAAAUAAGCACUCGUUACACCCAAGGAGUGCAGAAUUGCAUCUCUGAACGCACAACACGUGCACAACCUGCGGCUACAGCAGCAGGAGACCACAGCGGGGGUCUCCGGGGGACCACAGCUCCUGUCCGCUAAGACCAGGAGACUAUUCACACAGGAUCACCACAAUGGACAUAAGAUUGGUGUGUGAGCAGGACUUUGAGCGAGAGACUGGAGCAGACGCUCCGGGGCAAGGAAGGCCGAGGAGCGGAGCAACGAAGCCACAAACCUGCUUACUGCAAAAUAAAGUAUAUUGUAAAGUAGACCCCUGUGUCCGUGCGUCCUUCAUCGAACCCGACGGUAGCAGCUCCAGCACGUUGCCUGGUCUGAUGAGUUUUGAGUUCAUUCAGAUGGUCGAGUCAGAAUUUGACAGCGUGGAUCCAUCCGGCCUUGUGUCAUCUGUUCAGGCUGCUGGUGUGACGGCGUCGGGGAUAUUUUCCUGGUGCAGUUUGACUUUUGUUUGACAACUGAUGGGCUACUCAUGUAUGUGCUGCAGCUAUGAGCUAUAAUUAUGUCCAUAUCAUGAUUCAGAAGGAAAUACCACAAGCUGUUAUAAGGGACAAACGUUUAUUGUAACCCUAAACGGGGUGAAAUACAAAACUACAAUAAAUAAAUUUAAAUCUAAAAAACGUCUCAACUUCACCACACACAGACCAGUAUUAUUAUUCC